rnacentral:misc_RNA from 1 species
AACCAUAGAAACCUGCGGAGUACCUGCGGAGGGAUCAUUACCAAUCUUUAGUGGGUCAUGACUUGUUCAUGGUCUCACGAAAUCUUGUAUUUAAAACCCACUCAUAUAACUAAAAAACAUGUAGUAAUAUGUUAACUAAAAGAUAACUUUUAACAAUGGAUCU